UAAGUAUUUUUUAUUACCAGUUUCUUUUUGAUGAAGUCUCUUUGAAAAUUAGACCAUCCCAUUGAUGUAUUUCUAGUCCAGAUUAUUUCCUAUGUACUGGUAAGGUGGGCUACAUCACAGGAAACAUAGGUGUCCUUACGUUUCCCUUCCUUCUCUUGACAUCCCCCUCACCACCACCCCACGCCACCUCCCCACCCCUACACACACACAUAAUGUUCCUCCUCCUGUGAGGUUUAAGUGGUACAGAAGCUCAGUUUCCCCACAGUAGAAUCAGUCAAAAACUGCCAAAGCUCGAAGGACCUUUGCUGUAUUUUAG
rnacentral:lncRNA from 1 species